AUUGAACGCUGGCGGCAGGUCUAACACACGCAAGUCGAGCGGAUGAAGGGAGCUUGCUCCUGGAUUCAGCGGCGGACGGGUGAGUAAUGCCUAGGAAUCUGCCUGGUAGUGGGGGAUAACGUCCGGAAACGGGCGCUAAUACCGCAUACGUCCUGAGGGAGAAAGUGGGGGAUCUUCGGACCUCACGCUAUCAGAUGAGCCUAGGUCGGAUUAGCUAGGUGGUGGGGUAAAGGCCUACCAAGGCGACGAUCCGUAACUGGGCUGAGAGGAUGAUCAGUCACACUGGAACUGAGACACGGUCCAGACUCCUACAGGAGGCAGCAGUGGAGAAUAUUGGACAAAGGGCGAAAGCCUGAUCCAGCCAUGCCGCGUGUGAAGAAGGUCUUCGGAUUGUAAAGCACUUUAAGUUGGGAGGAAGGGCAGUAAGUUAAUACCUUGCUGUUUUGACGUUACCAACAGAAUAAGCACCGGAUAACUUCGUG
rnacentral:rRNA from 1 species